rnacentral:rRNA from 1 species
GCCUACGGGACGCAGCAGGGAAUUUUCGUCAAUGGGCGCAAGCCUGAACGAGCAAUGCCGCGUGAACGAGGAAGGUCUUCGGAUCGUAAAGUUCUGUUGAAGGGGAAAAAGAGCGGAGAGAGGAAAUGAACUCCGAUUGAUAUUACCCUUCGAGGAAGUCACGGCUAACUACGUGCCAGCAGCCGCGGUAAUACGUAGGUGACGAGCGUUAUCCGGAAUGAUUGGGCGUAAAGGGUGUGUAGGCGGCCUGCUAAGUCUGGAGUGAAAGGUACCGGCUCAACCGGUACAGGCUCUGGAAACUGGCG